GCCGGGCGCGGUGGCGCGUGCCUAUAGUCCCAGCCACUCGGGAGGCUGAGGCUGGAGAAUCCCUUGAGUUCAGGAGUUCUGGGCUGUAGUGCGCUAUACCGAUCGGGUGUCCGCACUAAGUUCGGCAUCAAUAUGGUGACCUCCCGGGAGCGGGGGACCACCAGGUUGCCUAAGGAGGGGUGAACCGGCCCAGGUCGGAAACGGAGCAGGUCAAAACUCCCGUGCUGAUCAGUAGUGGGAUUGCGCCUGUGAAUAGCCACUGCACUCCAGCCUGGGCAACAUAGUGAGACCCUGCCUCU
rnacentral:SRP_RNA from 1 species